UCAUUGCUGCAACCACAUUGCUUAAAUUCAGUUCCAAUGAGAGAAGGAGAUGCAACAAGGAUUAUUUUUAUCUCAAGAGUUUCAGACUCAUAUCCCCAAGGAGCAGCAGGAAUGACUAGUAUUCAUGAAGUGAGUCAAUCCGAUGAGUGGGAGGAGAAUAAUAUGAGCCUGAUACCGAUGGAAGUUGUCAGACUACAAGAGAACCACCUGCUUAGUAAAACUGGGACACCAAUGGAGCUGAGAGAGAUGUGCAUGCAAGACGCAGGAUGAAGAGAAACAGCAAGGACCAAAGACUGUUCAGACUUUCCCUACUGCAACCUUCUGCACCGUCCAAGAAUAUCGAAAAAGGAAAAAUGAAGAGAGGCUAAAGUUUUUCUAAAGGGAAAAUGGAUUUGAAGAAAACUGUGAAACAAACAGUAUAUAUGACACAGAGGUUGUUAAUAUCCCUGGAUCACAACGUCCCUUUACCGUUGAGGCUUAUAAGGAUGAAGUUGGCAGGCCGUAUCAAAGGAUCACUCUCUACAUCUACUUGAAUAAGUUUGAGAACUGGAAGACUCUUCUGACUCUGACAUGGAGGUUGUUAUUAAAACUCUAUCUGAGUUUGAUCUUGCUGAUACACUGGUAUGUCUAAUUUAGAACAUGUUUGCCUUUUUCUUUUGGGUUGAGCUCAGUAGAACUAGAUAAAUAUUUAUAUCUGACAUAUUUUGUGUCAUCACGCCAGCCUUGAGAGCCUCAGCAUGAAAGCAGUCCUUUUUCAAAUGUGACAGAAGCAAAGUAAGUUGUCAUUAAAAACGUUUCUAAAGCAUACUGUGUUUUUGGCUUAUUAUGCACUUGCAUAGUACAUAUUGAGAUGUAAACUUUAGACCAGGGGUCUCAAACUCAAUUUACCUGGGGGCCACUGAAGGCAGGGUCUAGCUCAGGCGGGGCCGCAACUUCAGCGCACACACAUACACACAACUUGUGAGUGUCUGAGAGUCAGUAAAUUUGUAUGGAACAUAUACUAUAUUAUUAACAAUACUCUAUUACUAACUGUUUUCUGGACAAAAUCUACUUAUAAAACUCUCAGUCAAAUAAAAUAAAAUAGAUAAAUAAAAAAAUCAAUAGGUAAAUAAAUCAGUAAUACAUUUCUGUUUAUUA